rnacentral:rRNA from 1 species
GACGAACGCUGGCGGCGUGCUUAACACAUGCAAGUCGAACGGUAAGGCCCUUCGGGGUACACGAGUGGCGAACGGGUGAGUAACACGUGGGUGAUCUGCCCUGCACUUCGGGAUAAGCCUGGGAAACUGGGUCUACCACCGGAUAGGACCACUGCCUGCAUGGGUGGUGGUGGAAAGCUUUGGCGGUGUGGGAUGGGCCCGCGGACUAUCAGCUUGUUGGUGGGGUGAUGGCCUACCAAGGCGACGACGGGUAGCCGGGCUGAGAGGGUGACCGGCCACACUGGGACUGAGAUACGGCCCAGACUCCUACGGGAGGCAGCAGUGGGGAAUAUUGCACAAUGGGCGCAAGCCUGAUGCAGCGACGCCGCGUGAGGGAUGACGGCCUUCGGGUUGUAAACCUCUUUCAGCACCGACGAAGCGCAAGUGACGGUAGGUGCAGAAGAAGGACCGGCCAACUACGUGCCAGCCGCCGCUGUAA